rnacentral:lncRNA from 1 species
AUGAUGAGUCCGUCUGCUCCAGCUGAGACCGGAGCGCCGAGAAGUCUCCAGGCGACGCUCGAAACGGCCGAGCGGAGAGACACGAGCCAGGCAGGAGCGAAGAGUCACCUCCACCUCCACCUCAGAGAGAACAGAGUCAGAGAGACAGAGAGUCAGAGAGUCAGCUCCACCUCCACCUCAGAGAGAACAGAGAGUCAGAGAGUCAGCUCCACCUCAGAGAGAACAGAGCAAGUCAGAGAGUCAGAGAGUCAGAGAGUCAGCUCCACCUCAGAGGCGAGGCAGAGAGUCAGAGAGUCAGCUCCACCUCAGAGAGCAGAGAGUCAGAGAGUCAGCUCCACCUCAGAGAGAAAGAGCAGAGAGUCAGCUCACUCAGAGAGUCAGAGAGUCAGAGAGUCGCUCCACCUCAGAGAGUCAGAGAGUCAGAGAGUCAGCUCCACCUCAGAGAGACAGAGAGUCAGAGAGUCAGCUCCACCUCAGAGAGACAGAGAGUCAGAGAGUCAGCUCCACCUCAGAGAGAACAGAGAGUCAGAGAGUCAGAGAGUCAGCUCCACCUCAGAGAGAACAGAGAGUCAGAAGAGUCAGAGAGUCAGCUCCACUCAGAGAGACAGAGAGUCAGAGAGUCACUCCACUCAGAGAGAACAGAGAGUCAGAGAGUCAGAGAGUCAGCUCCACCUCAGAGAGAACAGAGAGUCAGAGAGUCAGAGAGUCAGAGAGUCAGCUCACUCAGAGAGAACAGAGACAGAGAGUCAGCUCCACCUCAGAGAACAGAGUCAGAGUCAGAGUCAGAGUCAGAGUCAGCUCCACCUCAGAGAGAACAGAGAGUCAGAGAGUCAGCUCCACCUCAGAGAGAACAUGAGAGUCAGAGAGUCAGAGGUCAGAGGGAGGUCAGCUCCAGGCCUCAGAGAGUCAGAGAGCAGAGGUCAGCUCCACUCAGAGAGACAAGAGAAUCAGAGAGUCAGAGAGUCAGCUCCACCUCAGAGAGAACAGAGAGUCAGAGAGUCAGCUCCACCUCAGAGAACAGAGAGUCAGAGAGUCAGAGAGUCAGCUCCACCUCAGAGAGAGGGACAGAGAGUCAGAGAGUCAGAGGAGGGGGGGGAGGUCAGCCUCCACCUCAGAGAGACAGAGAGAACAGAGAGUCAGAGAGUCAGCUCCACCUCAGAGAGACAGGAGAACAGAGAGUCAGAGAGUCAGAGAGUCAGCUCCACCUCAGAGAGAACAGAGAGAACAGAGAGUCAGGAGUAG